rnacentral:rRNA from 1 species
AAAGCGUGCGCAGGCGGUCUUGUAAGACAGAGGUGAAAUCCCCGGGCUCAACCUGGGAACUGCCUUUGUGACUGCAAGGCUAGAGUACGGCAGAGGGGGAUGGAAUUCCGCGUGUAACAGUGAAAUGCGUAGAUAUGCGGAGGAACACCGAUGGCGAAGGCAAUCCCCUGGGCCUGUACUGACGCUCAUGCACGAAAGCGUGGGGAGCAAACAGGAUUAGAUACCCUGGU